rnacentral:rRNA from 1 species
AUUGAACGCUGGCGGCAUGCCUUACACAUGCAAGUCGAACGGCAGCACGGGUGCUUGCCCCUGGUGGCGAGUGGCGAACGGGUGAGUAUUACAUCGGAACAUGUCCUGUAGUGGGGGAUAGCCCGGCGAAAGCCGGAUUAAUACCGCAUACGAUCUACGGAUGAAAGCGGGGGACCUUCGGGCCUCGCGCUAUAGGGUUGGCCGAUGGCUGAUUAGCUAGUUGGUGGGGUAAAGGCCUACCAAGGCGACGAUCAGUAGCUGGUCUGAGAGGACGACCAGCCACACUGGGACUGAGACACGGCCCAGACUCCUACGGGAGGCAGCAGUGGGGAAUUUUGGACAAUGGGCGAAAGCCUGAUCCAGCAAUGCCGCGUGUGUGAAGAAGGCCUUCGGGUUGUAAAGCACUUUUGUCCGGAAAGAAAUCCUUGGCCCUAAUACGGUCGGGGGAUGACGGUACCGGAAGAAUAAGCACCGGCUAACUACGUG